rnacentral:tRNA from 1 species
AACCGCGUGGCCUAAAGGAUAAGGCGUCUGACUUCGGAUCAGAAGUUUGAGGGUUAAAGUCCCUUCGUGGUUG